GUCAAAAGUCUAAGUUGGCUUAAAAUUAGAAAGAUCAUAUAAUAAGCAACAAGUGUACUAAGUUUCAAGUUGAUUGGACUUCAGCUUCAUCAAAAACUACCUUGACCAAAAACUUUAACCUGAAACUCCCACUUUCAUUUUCUAUGUUCAGUGGACCAUUAAAUUGGGGUCAAAAGUCUAAUUUGGCUUUAAAAUUAGAAAGAUCAUAUCAUAAGCAACAGGUGUAC
rnacentral:lncRNA from 1 species